AACAUUACAUUUGAUACAGAUUCACAUAUAGUUGGUAAAUGUAUGAGUUAAUCAUGUAUUGUGAUUUUCAAGGCAAUUUCAAGAUACAAACAAUAUAAAAAAAAUCUUCAUUGGAAUUAUUUGAGUUUUUAGAUCUUGUGUAACCCUGCAUUCAUAAAUUAUACUCACAUUUUAUGUAAUUUUUUAAGAAUAAAUAAAUAAUCAAGUGAUUUUGGUGUUUUUUUCUACUUUAUUAGUGUAUGUAUAUAGUGUAUAUUUACUUAAAUUCUGUAGAUUUGUGUAUAAGCAAAUCUUGUAUUUUUUGUUUUAUUAGUGUAUUCUAUCUAUAUUAUUUAUUGCUUUUAUCUCUUCAC